rnacentral:tRNA from 1 species
GAGUGGACGCUCAGUGGUAGAGCGGUCGGUUGUUAACCGAUUGGUCAUAGGUUCGAAUCCAACGUUUGGGCU